CAAGCUAUUCGGCGGGAAUGGCCAAAAUACCGCAGAGCAACAUUCGGGCAGCGUGUGACGGUUUCUUUGGCCGUUUGAAGGCCAUAAUUCGUGACCAAUUGGAACAAAUCUGAACUUAUACUAAAAUUUGAUGCUAUUUCCGACAUUUUUUGCUUUCAUUCAAUAAAAUUUUAAA